UAAAAGAUAAGCUAAAUAUUAAGCUAAUGGGCUCAUACUUCAUUUAUGGAACAUUAUUCCUCUUUUUA
rnacentral:tRNA from 1 species